rnacentral:rRNA from 1 species
UACGUAGGGUGCAAGCGUUGUCCGGAUUUAUUGGGUUUAAAGGGUGCGUAGGCGGCUUUGUAAGUCAGUGGUGAAAUACUCUAGCUUAACUAGAGGGGUGCCAUUGAUACUGCGGAGCUUGAGUACAGAUGAGGUAGGCGGAAUUGACGGUGUAGCGGUGAAAUGCAUAGAUAUCGUCAAGAACACCGAUAGCGAAGGCAGCUUACUGGGCUGUAACGUGACGCUGAUGCACGAAAGUGUGGGGAUCAAACAGG